UACAGGGGGGGCAAGCGUUGUUCGGAAUUACUGGGCGUAAAGGGUUCGUAGGUGGCUUACUAAGUCAAACGUGAAAUCCCUCAGCUUAACUGGGGAACUGCGUCUGAUACUGGAAAGCUUGAGUGCAGGAGAGGAACGCGGAAUUCCAGGUGUAGCGGUGAAAUGCGUAGAUAUCUGGAGGAACACCGGUGGCGAAGGCGGCGUUCUGGACUGCAACUGACACUGAGGAACGAAAGCCAGGGGAGCAAACAGG
rnacentral:rRNA from 1 species